rnacentral:rRNA from 1 species
GACUGAGUGGCGGACGGGUGAGUAACGCGUGGGUAACCUGCCUCACACAGGGGGAUAACAGUUGGAAACGGCUGCUAAUACCGCAUAAGCGCACAGUACCGCAUGGUACAGUGUGAAAAACUCCGGUGGUAUAAGAUGGACCCGCGUUGGAUUAGCUAGUUGGUGAGGUAACGGCCCACCAAGGCGACGAUCAGUAGCCGGCUUGAGAGAGUGAACGGCCACAUUGGGACUGAGACACGGCCCAAACUCC